GAGUUUGAUCCUGGCUCAGGAUGAACGCUGGCGGCAUGCCUAAUACAUGCAAGUCGAACGAGAGGAAGGAAAGCUUGCUUUUCUGAAUCUAGUGGCGAACGGGUGAGUAACACGUAGGUAACCUGCCCAUGUGCCCGGGAUAACUUCUGGAAACGGAUGCUAAAACCGGAUAGGUAGCAGACAAGCAUUUGACUGCUAUUAAAGUGGCUAAGGCCAUGAACAUGGAUGGACCUGCGGUGCAUUAGCUAGUUGGUGAGGUAACGGCCCACCAAGGCGACGAUGCAUAGCCGGCCUGAGAGGGCGGACGGCCACAUUGGGACUGAGACACGGCCCAAACUCCUACGGGAGGCAGCAGUUAGGAAUUUUCGUCAAUGGGGGGAACCCUGAACGAGCAAUGCCGCGUGAGUGAGGAAGGUCUUCGGAUCGUAAAGCUCUGUUGUAAGAGAAAAACGACAUUCAUAGGGAAUGAUGAGUGAGUGAUGGUAUCUUACCAGAAAGUCACGGCUAACUACGUGCCAGCAGCCGCGGUAAUACGUAGGUGGCGAGCGUUAUCCGGAAUGAUUGGGCGUAAAGGGUGCGUAGGUGGCAGAACAAGUCUGGAGUAAAAGGUAUGGGCUCAACCCGUACUGGCUCUGGAAACUGUUCAGCUAGAGAACAGAAGAGGACGGCGGAACUCCAUGUGUAGCGGUAAAAUGCGUAGAUAUAUGGAAGAACACCGGUGGCGAAGGCGGCCGUCUGGUCUGUUGCUGACACUGAAGCACGAAAGCGUGGGGAGCAAAUAGGAUUAGAUACCCUAGUAGUCCACGCCGUAAACGAUGAGAACUAGGUGUUGGGGGAAUAACUCAGUGCCGCAGUUAACGCAAUAAGUUCUCCGCCUGGGGAGUAUGCACGCAAGUGUGAAACUCAAAGGAAUUGACGGGGGCCCGCACAAGCGGUGGAG
rnacentral:rRNA from 1 species